CUGUGUUUCCCAUCAUUAGAAGAAAAUUCUAGAAGAAAAUCCAAACUCCUUACCAUGGCCUAUGGCCUUGUAUGAGCUAGCACCAGCAACUUGGUUACUGAGGACUAUCCCCACAGGGUGAUAAGCAAGAGAAAUGUGGUCCCUGCCUUCCUAGAGCCCACAAUCUGCUGGGGAAGAUGACAGUAAUCAAUGACCACUAGGAGUCCAUGGAUGGAGUAGCCAUCAACCACAAAGGAAAGAACAGGCCGGCUCUUC